rnacentral:rRNA from 1 species
CCUACGGGUGGCAGCAGUGAGGAAUAUUGGUCAAUGGACGAGAGUCUGAACCAGCCAAGUAGCGUGAAGGAUGACUGCCCUAUGGGUUGUAAACUUCUUUUAUAUGGGAAUAAAAUGUUCCACGUGUGGGAUUUUGUAUGUACCAUAUGAAUAAGGAUCGGCUAACUCCGUGCCAGCAGCCGCGGUAAUACGGAGGAUCCGAGCGUUAUCCGGAUUUAUUGGGUUUAAAGGGAGCGUAGGUGGAUUGUUAAGUCAGUUGUGAAAGUUUGCGGCUCAACCGUAAAAUUGCAGUUGAAACUGGCAGUCUUGAGUACAGUAGAGGUGGGCGGAAUUCGUGGUGUAGCGGUGAAAUGCUUAGAUAUCACGAAGAACUCCGAUUGCGAAGGCAGUUCACUGGACUGCAACUGACACUGAGGCUCGAAAGUGAGGGUAUCAAACAGGAUUAGAUACCCGUGUAGUC